GCCCUCUUGGUGAAAUUGGUAGACACGACAGACUUAAAAUCUGUUUCUUUUUGGAGUAUCGGUUCAAGUCCGAUAGAGGGCA
rnacentral:tRNA from 1 species